rnacentral:rRNA from 1 species
AUUGAACGCUGGCGGCAUGCCUUACACAUGCAAGUCGAACGGCAGCACGGGUGCUUGCACCUGGUGGCGAGUGGCGAACGGGUGAGUAAUAUAUCGGAACGUACCUUAUUGUGGGGGAUAACGCAGCGAAAGCUGUGCUAAUACCGCAUAAUCCCUAAGGGGGAAAGCGGGGGACCGUAAGGCCUCGCGCAAUUAGAGCGGCCGAUACCUGAUUAGCUAGUUGGUGAGGUAAAGGCUCACCAAGGCAACGAUCAGUAGCUGGUCUGAGAGGACGAUCAGCCACAGUGGGACGUGGAGCCGGCCCAGACUCCUACGGGAGGCAGCAGUGGGGAAUUUUGGACAAUGGGGGCAACCCUGAUCCAGCAAUGCCGCGUGAGUGAAGAAGGCCUUCGGGUUGUAAAGCUCUUUUGUCAGGGAAGAAACAGCAGCUCUAACACAGUAUGCGAAUGACGGUACCUGAAGAAUAAGCACCGGCUAACUACGUGCCAGCAGCCGCCGUAA